CUUGCCUACGGGGGGCAGCAGUGAGGAAUAUUGGUCAAUGGGCGGGAGCCUGAACCAGCCAAGUCGCGUGAGGGAAGACGGUCCUAUGGAUUGUAAACUUCUUUUCUUAGUGAAGAAGCAAGUGACGGUAGCUAAGGAAUAAGCAUCGGCUAACUACGUGCCAGCAGCCGCGGUAAUACGUAGGAUGCGAGCGUUAUCCGGAAUUACUGGGUGUAAAGGGAGCGCAGGCGGGACUGCAAGUUGGAUGUGAAAUGCCGCAGCUUAACUGCGGAGCUGCAUCCAAAACUGUAGUUCUUGAGUGGAGG
rnacentral:rRNA from 1 species